CUUGAAUGUACAAUACGUAGGAAAACUGCCUACUCGCAUACUAUGUCGGAUUAAGACUCUCACACGACGAGUGUCCCUCUACCGAUUGAAGGACCAAAUUAGGCAUCAGACAUCACCCAAAUGGAACACAUCCGAAUCGAAGCCUGGAGCUCUGGACAAUUUUCAGUCAACUAGAAACGCCUCCGACCAGGCAACAUCAAAUUCCAAAUUACAAAAUUAAAAAGAUUUUGUGAAAAAAAUAUUGGAGGUCCGGGUGCACCGUGUUGGUAUCGAUAUCGGUAGUAUCCAGAGUGCUAGUCAACAUACAUGACUUUAUAUCCCCCGAUGGGACGCCCUGGAACGGGCCCCAAUGGCACGAACAGGCAGCCCCCACUUGGCACGGAUCGUAGUUAUGCUCACGGCCUACGUUAUGGCCAUGUGGUUCCUGGCCACCUUCACUGAGAAGCGGUUCGAGAUGAGGAGAAACUUGGGAUCUGAGACCUUAACUGCGAUAUGUCGCCACUCCUAAAUGAGAGUUUACACGAGAGAUCUUUCUUGUCAGACCCACCAAUGCGUCUUUCUUUCUCAUGAUAAAACUCCAAAACUUUCUUGCAACCCUCUGAGAAUAGAGCCAUCCACAGCCAUUCAGCGUCCUCAACCAAGAGCCUCUGGAGAUGCGAGGGAUCUCUAUCAGAAGAUAGACCAAUUGUCACCUGCACUGUCGGUCCUUGAGGGUCCAUUGGGGGCAAUCCUGUUCGUUCGCGUGCAAGUUGAUAAGGAUCGACUGCGGUGAAUGGGAUGAGUAACAUGGGAUCGGCGGAUAGAACCCUGACGUUUGGAUUCGACGGCAGACUAGAUCCAAG